rnacentral:rRNA from 1 species
UACAGAGGGUGCGAGCGUUAAUCGGAAUUACUGGGCGUAAAGCGCACGUAGGUGGCGCCGUAAGUCGGGUGUCAAAGCCCCGGGCUCAACCUGGGAAUUGCAUUCGAGACUGCAUUGCUGGAGUACGGAAGAGGCGGGCGGAAUUCCCGGUGUAGCGGUGAAAUGCGUAGAUAUCGGGAGGAACAUCAGUGGCGAAGGCGGCCCUCUGGGCCAGUACUGACACUCAAGUGCGAAAGCGUGGGGAGCAAACAGG